CUCUCAGCUUAUUUUGCGCAGCUUAGGUGGGAGACGUUGAACUUCUUUUUCCGGAAAGGAGGGAGUCAUCAGUGAGAUACCACUCUUGGUAAGCUAGAGCGCUCAUUUCUAACCGUUAUCCGGUAGAAAGACAGUUUCAGGCGGGCAGUUUGACUGGGGCAGUCACCUCCCAAAAGGUAAUGGAGGUGUACAAAGGUUCGCUCAGGCUGGACGGAAAUCAGCCAUAGAGUGUAAAAGCAUAAGCGAGCUUGACUGCGAGACUGACAUGUCAAGCAGAGACGAAAGUCGGUUUUAGUGAUCCGACGGUGCUGAGUGGAAAGGCCGUCGCUCAACGGAUAAAAGUUACUCUAGGGAUAACA
rnacentral:rRNA from 1 species